CUCUUUGGUGACAUAUAUAGCCA
rnacentral:siRNA from 1 species